rnacentral:rRNA from 1 species
UCUUGACGAACGCUGGCGGCGUGCUUAACACAUGCAAGUCGAACGGAAAGGCCCUGCUUUUGUGGGGUGCUCGAGUGGCGAACGGGUGAGUAACACGUGAGUAACCUGCCCUUGACUUUGGGAUAACUUCAGGAAACUGGGGCUAAUACCGGAUAGGAGCUCCUGCUGCAUGGUGGGGGUUGGAAAGUUUCGGCGGUUGGGGAUGGACUCGCGGCUUAUCAGCUUGUUGGUGGGGUAGUGGCUUACCAAGGCUUUGACGGGUAGCCGGCCUGAGAGGGUGACCGGCCACAUUGGGACUGAGAUACGGCCCAGACUCCUACGGGAGGCAGCAGUGGGGAAUAUUGCACAAUGGGCGGAAGCCUGAUGCAGCAACGCCGCGUGCGGGAUGACGGCCUUCGGGUUGUAAACCGCUUUCGCCUGUGACGAAGCGUGAGUGACGGUAAUGGGUAAAGAAGCACCGGCUAACUACGUGCCAGCAGCCGCGGUGAUACGUAGGGUGCGAGCGUUGUCCGGAUUUAUUGGGCGUAAAGGGCUCGUAGGUGGUUGAUCGCGUCGGAAGUGUAAUCUUGGGGCUUAACCCUGAGCGUGCUUUCGAUACGGGUUGACUUGAGGAAGGUAGGGGAGAAUGGAAUUCCUGGUGGAGCGGUGGAAUGCGCAGAUAUCAGGAGGAACACCAGUGGCGAAGGCGGUUCUCUGGGCCUUUCCUGACGCUGAGGAGCGAAAGCGUGGGGAGCGAACAGGCUUAGAUACCCUGGUAGUCCACGCUGUAAACGGUGGGUACUAGGUGUGGGGUCCAUUCCACGGGUUCCGUGCCGUAGCUAACGCUUUAAGUACCCCGCCUGGGGAGUACGGCCGCAAGGCUAAAACUCAAAGGAAUUGACGGGGCCCCGCACAAGCGGCGGAGCAUGCGGAUUAAUUCGAUGCAACGCGUAGAACCUUACCUGGGUUUGACAUGGAUCGGGAGUGCUCAGAGAUGGGUGUGCCUCUUUUGGGGUCGGUUCACAGGUGGUGCAUGGCUGUCGUCAGCUCGUGUCGUGAGAUGUUGGGUUAAGUCCCGCAACGAGCGCAACCCUUGUUCACUGUUGCCAGCACGUUAUGGUGGGGACUCAGUGGAGACCGCCGGGGUCAACUCGGAGGAAGGUGGGGAUGACGUCAAGUCAUCAUGCCCCUUAUGUCCAGGGCUUCACGCAUGCUACAAUGGCUGGUACAGAGAGUGGCGAGCCUGUGAGGGUGAGCGAAUCUCGGAAAGCCGGUCUCAGUUCGGAUUGGGGUCUGCAACUCGACCUCAUGAAGUCGGAGUCGCUAGUAAUCGCAGAUCAGCAACGCUGCGGUGAAUACGUUCCCGGGGCUUGUACACACCGCCCGUCAAGUCAUGAAAGUUGGUAACACCCGAAGCCGGUGGCCUAACCGUUGUGGAGGAGCCGUCGAAGGUGGGACUGG